GGAUAGAGGCGCAGCAGAGAUCAGUACCCUUUUCCCGCCGAUGUAAGGCUAGGUCUUCCCGGACCGAUGGGUUAGGUGAAAGGCGAAGCUGCCGAAGCGGACACUGGGAGCUGUCUUAGCUGACUGAUAAUUUAACAGAUUAUCGGUUGUCAUCAUUACUUAUGAUGGAGUGCUAUCGA
rnacentral:ncRNA from 1 species